AUUGAACGCUGGCGGCAUGCUUUACACAUGCAAGUCGAACGGUAACAGGCCUUCGGGUGCUGACGAGUGGCGAACGGGUGAGUAAUGCAUCGGAACGUGCCCAAUCGUGGGGGAUAACGUAGCGAAAGUUACGCUAAUACCGCAUAAGCCCUGAGGGGGAAAGUGGGGGACCGCAAGGCCUCACGCGAAUGGAGCGGCCGAUGUCAGAUUAGCUAGUCGGUGGGGUAAAGGCCCACCAAGGCGACGAUCUGUAGCGGGUCUGAGAGGAUGAUCCGCCACACUGGGACUGAGACACGGCCCAGACUCCUACGGGAGGCAGCAGUGGGGAAUUUUGGACAAUGGGCGCAAGCCUGAUCCAGCCAUGCCGCGUGCGGGACGAAGGCCUCGGUUGUAACCG
rnacentral:rRNA from 1 species